CAUGGCUCAGGACGAACGCUGGCGGCGUGCCUAAUACAUGCAAGUCGAACGCGUCUUGGUUAUUGAUGUUAGAUGCUUGCAUUUAACUGAUUUAACAUUGAGACGAGUGGCGAACUGGUGAGUAACACGUGGGUAACCUGCCCUUGAAGUAGGGGAUAACACUUGGAAACAGGUGCUAAUACCGUAUAACAACCAAAACCACCUGGUUUUGGUUUAAAAGAUGGCUUCGGCUAUCACUUUAGGAUGGACCCGCGGCGUAUUAGCUUGUUGGUAAGGUAACGGCCUACCAAGGCAAUGAUACGUAGCCGACCUGAGAGGGUAAUCGGCCACAUUGGGACUGAGACACGGCCCAAACUCCUACGGGAGGCAGCAGUAGGGAAUCUUCCACAAUGGACGAAAGUCUGAUGGAGCAACGCCGCGUGAGUGAUGAAGGGUUUCGGCUCGUAAAACUCUGUUGUUGGAGAAGAACAGGUGUGAGAGUAACUGUUCACAUCUUGACGGUAUCCAACCAGAAAGCCACGGCUAACUACGUGCCAGCAGCCGCGGUAAUACGUAGGUGGCAAGCGUUGUCCGGAUUUAUUGGGCGUAAAGCGAGCGCAGGCGGUUUCUUAGGUCUGAUGUGAAAGCCUUCGGCUUAACCGGAGAAGUGCAUCGGAAACCAGGAGACUUGAGUGCAGAAGAGGACAGUGGAACUCCAUGUGUAGC
rnacentral:rRNA from 1 species